rnacentral:tRNA from 1 species
GGUAAGAUGACUGAAGAAAAUAGGUGAUAGACUGUAAAUCUAUUUAUGGAGUGAUCUCUCUUACUA